GAUGAACGCUGGCGGCGUGCCUAAUACAUGCAAGUCGAGCGAACGGACGAGAAGCUUGCUUCUCUGAUGUUAGCGGCGGACGGGUGAGUAACACGUGGAUAACCUACCUAUAAGACUGGGAUAACUUCGGGAAACCGUAGCUAAUACCGGAUAAUAUUUUGAACCGCAUGGUUCAAAAGUGAAAGACGGUCUUGCUGUCACUUAUAGAUGGAUCCGCGCUGCAUUAGCUAGUUGGUAAGGUAACGGCUUACCAAGGCAACGAUGCAUAGCCGACCUGAGAGGGUGAUCGGCCACACUGGAACUGAGACAUGGUCCAGACUCCUACGGGAGGCAGCAGUAGGGAAUUUUCCGCAAUGGGCGAAAGCCUGACGGAGCAACGCCGCGUGAGUGAUGAAGGUCUUCGGAUCGUAAAACUCUGUUAUUAGGGAAGAACAUAUGUGUAAGUAACUGUGCACAUCUUGACGGUACCUAAUCAGAAAGCCACGGCUAACUACGUG
rnacentral:rRNA from 1 species